rnacentral:rRNA from 1 species
AUUGAACGCUGGCGGCAUGCUUUACACAUGCAAGUCGAACGGUAACAGGGAGCUUGCUCCGCUGACGAGUGGCGAACGGGUGAGUAAUGCAUCGGAACGUACCGUGUAAUGGGGGAUAACGUAGCGAAAGUUACGCUAAUACCGCAUACGCCCUGAGGGGGAAAGUGGGGGACCGCAAGGCCUCACGUUAUACGAGCGGCCGAUGUCGGAUUAGCUAGUUGGUGGGGUAAAGGCCUACCAAGGCGACGAUCCGUAGCGGGUCUGAGAGGAUGAUCCGCCACACUGGGACUGAGACACGGCCCAGACUCCUACGGGAGGCAGCAGUGGGGGAUAUUGGACAAUGGGCGAAAGCCUGAUCCAGCAAUGCCGCGUGAGUGAUGAAGGCCCUAGGGUUGUAAAGCUCUUUUACCCGGGAUGAUAAUGACAGUACCGGGAGAAUAAGCUCCGGCUAACUCCGUGCCAGCAGCCGCGGUAAU